UAUGAAUGUAGGAAUCACAGUAAUUUACAACACUUUGACUGUUCAAACCAGUAUCACUUUGCAGAAAUAACAGCAAUUUCUGCCUGUGAUUCUGUUAAAUGCCGUAGAAUUGCCAGGUUCUAGGCUUUCCAGUAUUUCUUGAAAAUCUCCUUCAAAACGAUCCUGUUUGUUGCAGACAUAAUAUGUGAAUUUCCACCCAGAUGCCAGAAACCGCAAGGCUUUAGAAUUAC